CGGACGGGUGAGUAAUGCUUGGGAAUCUGGCUUAUGGAGGGGGAUAACUACGGGAAACUGUAGCUAAUACCGCGUAAUAUCUUCGGAUUAAAGGGUGGGACUUUCGGGCCACCUGCCAUAAGAUGAGCCCAAGUGGGAUUAGGUAGUUGGUGGGGUAAAGGCCUACCAAGCCGACGAUCUCUAGCUGGUCUGAGAGGAUGACCAGCCACACUGGAACUGAGACACGGUCCAGACUCCUACGGGAGGCAGCAGUGGGGAAUAUUGCACAGUGGGGGGAACCCUGAUGCAGCCAUGCCGCGUGAAUGAAGAAGGCCUUCGGGUUGUAAAGUUCUUUCGGUGAUGAGGAAGGUGUUUGUUUUAAUAGAGCAAGCAAUUGACGUUAGUCACAGAAGAAGCACCGGCUAACUCCGUGCCAGCAGCCGCGGUAAUACGGAGGGUGCGAGCGUUAAUCGGAAUGACUGGGCGUAAAGGGCACGCAGGCGGUGACUUAAGUGAGAUGUGAAAGCCCCGAGCUUAACUUGGGAAUUGCAUUUCAUACUGGGUCGCUAGAGUACUUUAGGGAGGGGUAGAAUUCCACGUGUAGCGGUGAAAUGCGUAGAGAUGUGGAGGAAUACCGAAGGCGAAGGCAGCCCCUUGGGAAUGUACUGACGCUCAUGUGCGAAAGCGUGGGGAGCAAACAGGAUUAGAUACCCUGGUAGUCCACGCUGUAAACGCUGUCGAUUUGGGGAUUGGGCUUUAAGCUUGGUGCCCGUAGCUAACGUGAUAAAUCGACCGCCUGGG
rnacentral:rRNA from 1 species